rnacentral:rRNA from 1 species
AUUGAACGCUGGCGGCAUGCCUUACACAUGCAAGUCGAACGGUAACAGGUCUUCGGAUGCUGACGAGUGGCGAACGGGUGAGUAAUACAUCGGAACGUGCCCGAUCGUGGGGGAUAACGCAGCGAAAGCUGCGCUAAUACCGCAUACGACCUAUGGAUGAAAGCGGGGGACCGAAAGGCCUCGCGCGAUUGGAGCGGCCGAUGUCAGAUUAGGUAGUUGGUGGGGUAAAGGCUCACCAAGCCAACGAUCCGUAGCUGGUCUGAGAGGACGACCAGCCACACUGGGACUGAGACACGGCCCAGACUCCUACGGGAGGCAGCAGUGGGGAAUUUUGGACAAUGGGCGCAAGCCUGAUCCAGCAAUGCCGCGUGCAGGAAGAAGGCCUUCGGGUUGUAAACUGCUUUUGUACGGAACGAAAAGGCUCUGGUUAAUACCUGGGGCUCAUGACGGUACCGUAAGAAUAAGCACCGGCUAACUACGUGCCAGCCGCCGCAGUAAUAC